rnacentral:sRNA from 1 species
GACCUAACCCUUGGGCUAUUCAGUGUAAGGUAUGGUUGAAAAUCGCGUUAACAACACUGAUCCCGUCGUUCAGGUUCGUUAACGCGUCACUUUAGGAAACUUUUGUGGGGCCUCACGGUCC